CCUUUCCGGUGAGGGAACCUCUCUCCAGACAUGAUCAAGAGAAACUGGCGAGGGACUGACAUGAUCUAGCUUACCUUGGGUCACCGAACGGAUUUGAACUCAUGUGAGAAUAUAUCUCUGUUGUAUUCAAAAGGCAUGUGACAUAAUUAUCCCAGCGAUCACUAAAACUGUAAAUUUGGAUGCAAUUAAGAGAGAAAACUCCACACAUUUAUGGAAAUUUAAGAUAUUGAAUAUGUAGUAUAUGCCAGACAAGAUGAUAAUAAAAACUAAAAGCAUCUGGAUGUUGAAUUCUCAGCUCCUUCUCCAGGACCAUGUCUGCCUGGAUGCUGCCAUGCCAUGCUUCCUGCCAUGAGAAUAAUAGACUCAACCUCUGAAACUUGAUGGAAUGUAAUCCAGAAUGUACUUUUUUAUUUCUGAAAUCUCUGUAAAACAGUACAAUGGAAAAAUGAAAACGAAAGACAUAAUUGAGGAAAUCCAACAUCCCACAAAAAGGAAUUCUAGAAAGAUUUGCAGCUUGCUGGCUUGCUGAGUGGAAAAUGAUUCUUUCCCAGUUCUCCUUGGUUUCUUCCUUUCAUGAAUUGAUUAACACUGAGAGAUUAUGUUUUAAUUAUGUCGACUAGAGGUUUUAAAUGAUUCUAGGUUUCUGUGUCCAUUUGUUUUCCUAGGUUUGGGGAAUUUGCUACUGCAAUAUCGUUGUAUAGAUAUUCUUUGCUUUAGUGAGAAACUCAGCUCCUUCUACUCUGUGGUUCUUAGCUUUAGUCUAUUGUACACAUCACAGAGUUAAUGAAAGCUGUGGUCAUACUUGAUUUUUUCUUCAUUACUAUUGAAAUAAAGCAUAUCCUUGA
rnacentral:lncRNA from 1 species